AUGACGAACACAAAGGGAAAGAGGAGAGGCACCCGAUGUAUGUUCUCCAGGCCUUGUGGAAAACAUGGAAUUUUUCCUUUGGCCACGUACAUGCGAAUGUAUAAGAAAGGUGAUACUGUAGACAUCAAGGGAAUGGGAACUGUUCAAAAAGGAAGCCGCACAAGUGUCACCAUGGCAAAGCUGGAAGAGUCUACGAUGUUCCCCAGCAUGCUGUUGGCAUUGCUGUAGACAAACAAGCUAAGGGCAAGAUUCCUGCCAAGAGAACUAAUGUGCGUAUUGAGCACAUGAAGCACUCUAAGAGCCGAGACAGCUUCCUGAGACGCGUGAAGGAAAAUGAUCAGAAAAAGAAAGAGGCCACAGAGAAAGGUACCUGGAAAAAAAACAAAAAAAAGAGAAAGGUACCUGGGUUCAACUAAGCUCCAGGCUGCUCCACCCAAAGAUGCACACUUUGUGAGAACCAACAGGAAGGAGCCCGAGCUGCUGGAACCUAUUCCCUGUGAAUUCAUGGCAUAAUA
rnacentral:lncRNA from 1 species